CGGUUUUCUAAAACUGACGUCGUAAACGUACACCCCAGUUUUCGCAAAAGAGGGAACACACCAGAGUGUUGAGAAAAUCAAAUUUCACUGAUUAGGGUUUCAUCUCGUCCCCUUUGUGAAUCAGAUUGGAAGAUGUCUUCCUCAUCUUUGAUAAUUGAAGUUAAGGAUCCGAAAUUGUCGCCAUCAUCGUCAUCAGAAAAUAGCAAAAUUCUCAAGGUCUGAAGAUGUAGCACUAAUCAAUGCUUAUGUAUCGAUUACAUGUGAUCCAGUUAUAGGGAAAUAUCAACAAUGUAAAGAGUUUUGGUCGCAGAUUAAAACCGAGUACAAAGCAACAUCGAGGAGUGACCCUGUCAGAACCACAAAGUCAUUGCAGACAAGAGUUAGCACUUUGAAAAGGGAAAUUAAGAGAUAUGUUUCUCACAUUAGAGGUUGUUUUAGGAACAUGCCUAGUGGAUUCACACUUGAAACCGCAUACUCCAUAUGUCAAUUGGAUUACGAGGAGUACCCGAAAUAUGGAAAUACAUGGAGACAUGACGAUGUAUUCCAAAUUUUGAAAAACUACACUUUGAGGAAUUCAAUCCAGAGAUUUAUGAUCGUGAAACAAUAACACAACCAAGCCAAUUAAUUAAUGAUGAUGAUGAUGAGAAUGUUAUUAUGUCUAGAUAUCCACAAUCUACCCCUGGUGAAUCUUCGGACGGGUCACGAAGAAAAAAAGUUUUAUGACGAUAACUAUAGGAGGGGUCCAAGCAGAGACAAGUCUAAACGAAAUAUACUUGAGGCCAUAACG